UGUUUAAUUUACGGGCUCAACCCGUAUCAGCAUUCAAAACUGUGGUUCUUGAGUAAUGCAGAGGUAGGCGGAAUUCCCGGUGUAGCGGUGGAAUGCGUAGAUAUCGGGAGGAACACCAGUGGCGAAGGCGGCCUACUGGGCAUCAACUGACGCUGAGGCUCGAAAGCAUGGGUAGCAAACAGGAUUAGAUACCCUGGUAGUCCAUGCUGUAAACGAUGAUUACUAGGUGUGGGAAGAUUGACCCUUUCCGUGCCGCAGUUAACACAAUAAGUAAUCCACCUGGGGAGUACGACCGCAAGGUUGAAACUCAAAGGAAUUGACGGGGGCCCGCACAAGCAGUGGAGUAUGUGGUUUAAUUCGAAGCAACGCGAAGAACCUUACCAGGUCUUGACAUCCAACGACCGCCUAAGAGAUUAGGCUUUCCUUCGGGACGUUGAGACAGGUGGUGCAUGGUUGUCGUCAGCUCGUGUCGUGAGAUGUUGGGUUAAGUCCCGCAACGAGCGCAACCCUUAUUACUAGUUACUACGCAAGAGGACUCUAGUGAGACUGCCGUUGACAAAACGGAGGAAGGUGGGGAUGACGUCAAAUCAUCAUGCCCUUUAUGACCUGGGCUACACACGUACUACAAUGGCUAUUAACAGAGAGAAGCGAGACCGCAAGGUGGAGCAAACCUCAGAAAAAUAGUCUCAGUCCGGAUUGGGGGCUGCAACCCGCCCCCAUGAAGCCGGAAUUGCUAGUAAUCGCGGAUCAGCAUGCCGCGGUGAAUACGUUCCCGGGCCUUGUACACACCGCCCGUCACACCAUGAGAGCCGGGGGGACCCGAAGUCGGUAGUCUAACCGCAAGGAGGACGCCGCCGAAGGUAAAACUGGUGAUUGGGGUGAAGUCGUAACAAGGUAACCGUAAAGGGCGAAUU
rnacentral:rRNA from 1 species